AACAUGUGUCUGCACAGUGAACGGGGCCUGUCAGCUCUGACACUUCACCACAUGUUGGUUCCACCCAUCUUCAACUUGUAGAUCUAAAGGGGAGGGAACCAGGAAAUCUGUGGACAGGGGAGCUCUCUGUGUUUGAGAGCAGGAAGAAGACGGAGGGUGAUCAGGCUUUCUCACAUUCCAGGAAGAGGAGCAGUUUGAUACUGUGCAUAUAGAACAGAACAUAGAAAUAAUUACUUUGUGUCUUUUCAAACACAAACACAACCUCAGCCUGAAGGUGAUGAACUCUAUGUGGGAUCUGUGGGUUUAGAGAAGCUUCUAAUCUCAUAACUUGCUGUAAGAGCAGAAACAUUAAUAUUCAUGGUCUUGAACAUGAAUAUGUGGACGUGAGAAGCCUGAACUCUUGUUCUAUUAGAUUUAUUCUGUCCCAGUGUAAAUAAAGAUGGAGCCCUUCAGCCGAGUCACUACACCUGUGUUGAAGAGUUGGAGUUUAACCAUCACGUAGUCUCUGUACUGACCAGCAGGGGGCGACUCCACUGGUUGUUUCAAUAUAAGUUCUUUGAGAAAGUGACUCUACUUCUAACUUGAUUUUAAUAUUAGCUUAUUGCCGUCAUACAUAAAUGUGAGAGAAUAGUAAGA